UACAGAGGGUGCAAGCGUUGUUCGGAAUUAUUGGGCGUAAAGGGCGCGUAGGCGGCCACCGCAAGUCGAUUGUGAAAUCUCCGGGCUUAACCCGGAAAGGUCAACCGAUACUGCGGGGCUAGAGUGCAGAAGGGGCAACUGGAAUUCUCGGUGUAGCGGUGAAAUGCGUAGAUAUCGAGAGGAACACCUGCGGCGAAGGCGGGUUGCUGGGCUGACACUGACGCUGAAGUGCGAAAGCUAGGGGAGCGAACGGG
rnacentral:rRNA from 1 species